AAACAUUUGAUAUGUUUUCCGUGUUCUAUUCUGUUCUAUAAUAUGUGAAUAGCAUAUGGGUUUAUGAGAUUUGCAAAUCAUUGCAUUCUGUUUUUAUUUACAUUUUACAAAGCAUCCCAACUUUUUUGGAAUUGGGGUUGUAUAGAUAGCCCUCGAUAGUUGUCAAGUAAGAUGUUCUCAUCUUCAUUGGAGCCUGCAUGAUGGUAUCGCCCAUCUUUCAUUAGUAAAACUGGGAGGGCUUUAUUUCCAGUUCACAUGAGAAUGACAAAAGACUAGAAUAUUAUUGAGGAAAAAAGAGCUUCUCCCACAGGGACAUGGGAAAGGAAGCAGGGACAUGGGAAAAGUCCAGCUGCUCAGGUUUUUCACAGGUGAAUUGAAGUAAUUAUACAUCCAAAGCCAAGCCUAGCCUAAAAGUGUGGAGACAAAGCGCACAUCAUGACCUCGUUGAUUUCCACCACUUUAAUCAUGUGCUUAGCAGUCGCAGCGCUUGAUGGAUCAGAUGCUUUGCUCUGCGACAGGGCCACAUUUGAUUAUGGAGUGCACAAUUACUGUCUACUUGACUACAAGCAACACAUGGCAGCCAGCAACUACCAGGAAGAAUGUCCAUGGCCCAACACUCAACACUACUACUAUUAUUUGGACAACUGUUUCCAACAUAUGGUAGACAUCACAGCAUGCAGUGAGCCUUCUCUGAAGAACAAGAUCUUUUUGGAUCUCCACCGCACAUAUUUUUUUCACUGCCACUUCCUGAAGGACCCUGAUGUGCCUGUGCUGCUGUUGUUUAUGCUGCCCUGCAUCAUCGUUACUUUUGUCUUCUCCUUUCUCUGUAGCUACAUCACCCCCAAGGAAUAAUGCAUCCAUGAUUAACUCACAUUGCUACAAAGACUCUUGUUAGAUUAGGAUUACUAUGAAACAUUCUGAUACAUUUAUGUGACUGACUGACACUCCAAGAUUUGAACACCUACUUAUUAUUAUCUUGUUUUUAGCAGACAAACUGGAAUUAAAUGUAUUUGUAAGAAAAAUGUAUUAGUGUCACUGUUUUAAUCUCAGGUAAAUGUCAGUUCCCAAAUGUAAACUCUUUAUAAGUCAUUUCUGACCAUUAACUUGUUCAUUUUAACUCGCUGAGUUUUGUUGACAAUCAAUUUCUCAUAGUCUCAUAUUGGUCGGUACAAAGGCAUAACCAAGUUGAUUUGUUCACAAGAUGGAUGACUUUUAGGAGUGCCAAUCUUAUUCAUUAGCACACUGCAGUUUUGAAAAUUGUCAUUAAAUUGUAAUAGUACCACCUGUAAUGGGACAUUCGUACAAAGGACCAGUACCAAACCACAGAGAGUAUGUUUGCUUUGCACAACCCUCCACAUUAAGUAUUUUGAGGACUUAAUAGGUUAAUUUUUUUGUUACUCCUAUAAUAGAAAGAGCAAUUUUACAACACAAUAGGCUUAAAACAAUGUAUGUUGAAACACAUCAUAAAUAUUUAUUUUGAGACAAAAAAAUAACAAUUUGUUUAACAGUGGUUUGAAAACAUUUUUUUUUUUUUUUACAGUAAUAGUAGUUUCUACUGCUAUUAAAAUAUCCACAUAACAUCAUUAUUUCUUUCAGUAUUGCUAAAGCUAAAGUAAUACAUUACUUAUCAUAAGAACUUGUUUGCCUUUUUUUUUGACAAACUAUACCUCUUACCAUAGUUACAACAAGGCAACACUGAGUUAUAAAAGUGGUCUGUUUGGGACUGACAACAUUUAGACAUGAUUUAAGGAUAACAUGACACAUGGGUGCUGAAUGUAUGGAAAGUAAACAUUUAUACAUUAUAUGCUCUACAGUUGAAAACAAUGGAAACUAGCAGGUGAUAUUUAUAGGUUCGACAAUUUUACAGUUAAGUCAAUUUGCCAACAACCAGAAUAUUACAUUGGUGUGCGGUCAUUGUACUUUCAUAGGAAAAGCAUUAAUUGUCUUUGCUGAGAGCAGUCUAUUAUAUUGACCAGAUCUCAAUGAUCUGAUCAUUAAUUCAGUAACAUCUGAUUGAGUAAACCAAGCUGAAUGGAGCAUUUGAAUGUCUGGUGUCUAUAAGGGUUGCAAUAAAUAAAUAUUAUAAUAAAUAUUGUCUUAUUGAUACUUUUUAUUUUAUCACAUCAUCUCAUUUUCUUAAACUUAUUUUUACUAAGUUAGUACUGCUUCCAAACUUUAGCCAGUAGUGUAUGUCUCAGUACAAUCAUUUAAAUGUUU
ensembl:lncRNA